rnacentral:rRNA from 1 species
AAUUGGAGGGCAAGUCUGGUGCCAGCAGCCGCGGUAAUUCCAGCUCCAAUAGCGUAUAUUAAAGUUGUUGCAGUUAAAAAGCUCGUAGUUGAAUUUCGGGAUUGACACAUCGGUCGUGCCUUAAGGGGUAUGAACUGGUGUAGCCAAUUUCUCACCUUCUGGAGAACGGCGAUGCCCUUAAUUGGGUGUCGCGGGGAACCAGGACCUUUACUUUGAAAAAAUUAGAGUGUUUAAAGCAGGCAUUUUGCUUGAAUACAUUAGCAUGGAAUAAUAAAAUAGGACGGCAUGAUUCUAUUUUGUUGGUUUCUAGGAUCACCGUAAUGAUUAAUAGGGAUAGUUGGGGGCAUUAGUAUUCAAUUGUCAGAGGUGAAAUUCUUGGAUUUAUUGAAGACUAACUACUGCGAAAGCAUUUGCCAAGGAUGUUUUCAUUAAUCAAGAACGAAAGUUAGGGGAUCGAAGACGAUCAGAUACCGUCGUAGUCUUAACCAUAAACUAUGCCGACUAGGAAUCAGACGAUGUUAAUUUUUUAAUGACUCGUUUGGCACCUUACGGGAAACCAAAGUGU